UGUAAAAUAUGCACAAAAUCAAUUAUUCAUUUUAGUUAUAAUUUUUUACCGUAUCAUUUUAUACACAAACUUUAAAAUUUCAAAACUUCGAUAGAUUAAUAGAGACAAGUAUGCAGGAGAUCUCCAACGAUGUACAAUUAUAGUCAUUCGUCAAGAUUUUACGCAGGGAAAAUCAUUGAAAGUGUUCAUCAAAAUCAUAGAAAAUGAGAAAAAGGUAACGUUUGUCGUGGAUCUAAAGAGAGUCAGAAGGAAUUGUCUAUAAUAAAAUCGUCUAUAUAACAAUUCUCAUAUUUUAUAAUAAAUAAUAAAU
rnacentral:sRNA from 1 species